rnacentral:rRNA from 1 species
UACGUAGGUGGCAAGCGUUGUCCGGAUUUAUUGGGUUUAAAGGGUGCGUAGGCGGUCCCAUAAGUCAGUGGUGAAAUACUCUAGCUCAACUAGAGGGGUGCCAUUGAUACUGCGGGACUUGAGUGAAGUCGAAGUAGGCGGAAUUGACGGUGUAGCGGUGAAAUGCUUAGAUAUCGUCAAGAACACCGAUAGUGAAGACAGCUUACUAGACUUAUACUGACGCUGAGGCACGAAAGUGUGGGGAGUCAAACAGG